UCUAUCCUUCAACCAUAAAAUAAUUCAUCUCUCUUCUUUCUCUCCUCUUUAGAGUAAUCCCAACCUUCUUCUUUUUUUCUCUUUUUGCUCUUCUCUUUCGCAUGAGGUUCCUUUCAAAUAUCAACAAAUAUAUAUCUUUUCUUAUCUAAAAUUAGUGUUUUGAUCCCUUCGCUUUUGACAUGGCAGGUAUGAUUCACUAUUAGAUCUGCGCUCUCUACUAUUAUUCUUUCCUUCUCAUCUUCUUAUUUGCCUAUUUCAUAAAAUUUUUCAUGUUUUAUUUGAUGAAAAUUGAAAUUGUGCACAUCAUAUUUUUACAUUGGUUAUUUAAAUUAGUUAUUUAUAUUUGUUGUUUUUAUUUAUUUAUUUAUUUAUUACCCAUAUCUUAUUUAUUGAAUGAACGAACCAUUGUUUUUAUUAAGCAAUCAAAAAAGUCUUCCAAUAUAUGGCCUAUCUGUUGCAAUAAAUUGGUCAUUUAUUGGGAGAACUUAAAAUGGCUUGUUGGCAGUAUCGGUGUUGUUUGUUUGUUUCUUUAUUAUUGAUGCUAUUGUUGAUAUUGUUGUUGUUGUUGGUGAUGUUAUAAUUGGUGGUGUUGGUGUUACAAUAGGUGGAAUAUAUGAUGGAAGAUAUUAAAAUAGGUCUUCCAAUAGAAUUACCAUCUGCUACAAUAGAUGAAUCAACUGUUAGAAUAGCUUAAAAUAGCUCUUCUAAUAGAUGACCCAUUUGUUGCAACAUAUUGGUUAUUUUUUACAAUAGAUGGAUCAUCUAUGGCAACAUAUGGGUUAUCUAUUAAAAUUCUUGUUGUAAUAUGUUGUAUUUAUUAAAUAUUUGUGUUACCCUUUUUCAAUAUUAUGCAGACAUCAAUUGUAAUGUUCUUUUUGCUUUUCUCUUAUUUGUAGAUAAAAUAUGUCUUCCAAAAAGAAAAGGAAGUGAAAGUGGAUCAACUUUUGCCCAACCAACAUAAAAGGCUAGAGUAGAGAUAGGUUCGAAGGAAUAAGCUGCUUGUAGAUGGAACCACUACAUAUGUGAGAGGUAUGUAUUACUAAUCAUGUUAUCGUGAAAACACACAUAAAUUACACUAAUUUUGUUAAUAUUAUUUUUUACCGAUUAGGGAUUGAUCAUUCAAAAAUGAUAUUGUAUUUUAUAGUUAAGUUUGAUAGGUCCAAACUGAUAAGGCUGAGGGACCAGGAAGGUGGUGCCAAUACCCUAUUUCGAUUUAAUAAUGGUUUUUCUAAUGUUAUGUGUUAAGUUUUGAGAAGGCAUCAUAUUUAUGGUGAUAAUGUAGAGAUUCAAUAGUGAUUGGACUGAUUUUAAGGGUUCAAUGGACUUUUGAAAGGCCUCCGAAGCAUUGCACUACUGCAAACAAAAAUGAAAAUUAAUAUAGUUAUUGUCUUUGUCUAAAUUUAUAUGGGUGAGUUGAUCGGGGUGAUGAUUAUACAACAGAAGGUGCUUAGGAGAAUAUCUGUGAGGGAAAGGGGAGGUGCUGAAAACUAUAUCAACUCAGACCUUAUUAAACAAGAAACAUAGGGUAGCAAAGAAUGUGUAGCGAAUCUGGCCAAUGAAAUUGACAUGAAAAAUGAAAAAACUGAAUGAUCUAAAAAAUAAAAGUGUGUCAAAAAAUAAAAAUCCAUCACCCAUUGUUGAAAAGAAAAAUGGUGAAGAGGACUGGAGCUGUGCACUUUUCGAGGUAACUGUUACUAGUUAGCGUGGUUUGAAUAAUCACCUCCAAAGAAAGGAAUAGAACUCCAAUGAAGUAGCUUUGUGAGCAUCGAGGGUUAUAAAGACGUACAACUAGAAUAAAACUUGAACCAAGAACCUUUGAAGUAAAAAUAAGAGAUCAAGCCAAGGCGGUAAUUUCUAAAGUUAAACUUGCAUCCUAGGCCUUCUCUUUGUGGAUCUGGUUACGUCAAUUGCAGUGGAUACAAAAAGACAUGGGAUUUCUGCCCAACUUCAAACCAUUUUAUUUCCACUGCCACUGACCUGAUCAGACCACAAACAGAAGGCAUGGGAUGCAAGUUAGAAUUUAAAAAUUACCAACUUGGCUUGAUCCCUUAUUUUAACUUUAGCAGUUCUUGGUUUAAGUUUCAUUCUUGAUUGUACAUCUUUCCAACCCUCAGUGCUCACAAAGUUAUUUCCUAGGAUUUUUAUUUCAUUAUUUGGAGGUGAUCAUUUAGGCCACACUAACUAGUUUCAGUUACCUAAAAAAGUGUCUAGCUACAGUCCACUUUACCAUUUUUCUUUUCAAAGACAACUGACGAAUUUUCAUUUUGAAAUACACUUUCAUAUUUGUAGCUCAUUCUGAUUUUUCAUCUUUCAAGUUAAUAUUAUUGGUCAAAUUGGCUAGAAGUUCAUUGCUUGCUACCACAUGUUUAUUCCUUAAUAAGGUUUGAGAUGAUAUAAUCUUUAGCAACUCCCCUUUACCGCGCAUAUAUUCUCCUACAAUAUGUUCUGCUGUGUAAUCGUCUUCUCGAGCAACCCAUCCAUAUAAAUUUGGACCAAGGGAAUUUCUAUUGGUUUUGCAUUCUUGUUUACUACACUAGGAUCCUUUGAAGGCCUUCUUAAACUCCAUUACACUAUUAAAACUAGUGCAAUCACUAUUGAGUCUCUAUAAUGCCAUCAAAUAUUGAUCCUUUCUCAAAACUUGACGCAUAAAUAUGAGCAAAACUGUUAUUAAAUUAUAACAGGGUAUCGACACAUCUUAUUGGACCCUUUGGCCUUAUCAGUUUACUCUUAUCAAACUUAACUGUAAGAUGCAAGAUCUUGUUUGAAGGAUCAAUGCCUAAUCGAUAAAAAACUGCAUUCACAAAAUAAUUGUACUUUAUAUGUGUUGUCACGAUAACCUGACCAGUAAUACAUAACUCCUACGCAUGAAAAUAGAUCCAUCCAUCUGCACACCCAUUAUUCUUCCUACCCCAUCAAUGUCAAAUAGUGUUUAAUCUUCAGUUCCCAUCGCGAAGUAGUGUAUAAAACUACAGAGGCUCAAAGGAUAACCAUAUUAAAAACCUUUCUUCUUAAUCUUCUGGGAAGGGUAACAACAAUCUCGAAAACUAAAAACCUAAUAGAGAGAAACCCUUGCUACUACUGGAUUGAGUUAUUCCAAUAGAUGACCCAUCUGUUACAACAAAUGAAAAAUCUAUUGGACUACAUGCCCGUAAAAAAAAAGUGCCCCAUGUGUAAUGCACCAUGAUAUUUGUAAUAGUAAACUUAGUUUGUUGAUUGUUAUGGACUUUGAUAAUUUUAACUCAUUGUUGAGGAUGUAAAUGUUAUUAUUUAUUACAUAAAAUAUAUUUUUAUUAACUUGUGCAUUGAUAAAAAGAGGUAAGGUAGGUAAUAUGAAUUAGAUACAAUAGACUACAAAAAAUAUUUUCCGCAGAUUACCAAUUUGUUGCAAUAGAUGGAGAUUUGCUAGAACACAAUACAACUCAUCAAUCUGGAUUGCUUUCAACUAACAGAUGAUCAAUACGUUGCAAUAGAUGGGCAAUAUGUUGGAAAAACUCAAAACCCUUGCUGAUGGAGUAUCUUCUUCCAAUAGAUGACACAUUUAUUGCAAUAGAUCAACUGGAAGAACAUAAUACAGUUCUUGCCACUGGUUUGUGUUUUUUCAACAGAUGACAAAUCUAUUUCUACAUAUGAUCUAUCUGUUGAAAAAACUAACUGAAAUGAUAAUUAAUAAAAAAUGGUUAUUGAAAAGGUGAAAAGUCAUGACAUUUUAAUUAUUUAAUAAAGAAAAUGGGUUCGUAAAUAAAUAAUAUGGAAAUAAAUGAUAAACACAAUUUAAAACCAUAAUAAAAUAGUUAUUUAAUUUUAAUAACUAAUGUUAAUAUUGAACAGGUAAAAAGUCAUGAAUUUUUACCUUUUUUGUUGUUAAAUCUAUUUUCUUAAUUUAAAUAAUCAAAAACUCACCAAUUUAAAUUAAUUAAGGGAUAAAAUUAUUAAAAAAGAGGUGAACAAUCAUGACUUUUUGUCUAACACAUUUAAAACAACUGAUAAAUCAAAUUCAUGAUUUGUUGUAACUGAUGAAUCAACUAUUGGAAAAAAUCAAAAUAGCNNNNNNNNNNNCUCUUCCGACAGAUAGUCUAUCUGUCUUCAAAUAGAUAACCCAUCUAUUACAAUCGAUGGAUCAUCUAUUUCAUAGACGGACCAUCAGUUGUAACAGAUAGUUAAUCUGUUACGACAGAUGAGUUAUCUAUUACAACAGAUGGGCCAUCUGUUGCAACAACUCAAUAAAAAUGGUUAUUAUUAAAAGAAACGGUUAUUGAAAAGGUGAAAAGUCUUCAAUUAUUUAAUUAAUAAAAAUGAUUAUUUAAUCUUAAGAACUAAUUAAUAUUGAAAAGAUGAAAAGUCAUGACUUUUUACAAUAAUAAAAAAGUCAACAGUUUGAUUUAAUUAAGUCAUGACUUUUCACUGUAAUGAAAAAGUCACCAUGUUUGAUUUAAUAAAGGCAUGUAAUUAAUAAAAUGGAGGUGAACAGUCGUGAAUUUUUGCCUAACAGAUUCAAAUUCAAUCCUUGAUAAAUAGGUCCCCCCUUACUCAUUCAUUCUACUCCACUUUAUUUAUUUCUUGCAUCUUGUAUUUUAUAUCGCAUCUUGUAUUUUAUAUCUCAUCUUGAACCACUUCUCUUCAAAGAUAAGAUUCUUUUUUCAUUGUGGUAAGUUUUUUUAAUUUGUAAAUCUACUAGUUGGUAGUAUACGUUGUAUUACAUUCAGACUCUUUUCUUUUCUUUAGUGUUUUACAUUUUUUGUUAAUACAUGCGUGCUCUAGAUAUAGCUGAUCUAGUUUGGACAUGGAAAUUCUGCAUGACACCAUGCAAAAACUUCAAAGGCAGGUUAAUGAACUCUAGUGGGAGUUGGGCGCCGUAAGAGCGAGGAUGCUUUGUGAGAUUCACAGGAUAAAGAGGGUCCUACUGCUACCAGUUGAUGAUUUAAUGGUUGACAAUAAUAAUAAUAAUAACAAUAAUAAUAAUUAGUUUUGCUUUUUCUUUUAGAGUAUGUAUUUUGUUUUAUUUAUAUUGGAUCUACCUAAACCUAAUGUAUUUUGUUUUGUUUAAUAAAAAAAUCUAUGUUUGGUCGA
rnacentral:lncRNA from 1 species